UCAUCAGGUGAGAUAAUCCUUACGUGUUCCUCUCUAUUCAGAGGGGGCAGGAGAACACAGUCAUUGGAGUUUGCAUGAUUUGUGAUUAACAUCUCUAUGUGAGUAGGACUCACAAAACCCUAAUCUGAUUCCUCCUGGG
ensembl:snoRNA U8 U8 small nucleolar RNA